AAUGCGAUAAGUAAUGUGAAUUGCAGAAUUCAGUGAAUCAUCGAAUCUUUGAACGCACAUUGCGCCCGCUAGCACUCUGGCGGGCAUGCCUGUUCGAGCGUCAUUUCAACCCUCAGAACCCCUUGCGGGAUCUGGCGUUGGGGAUUGGCAUCCAGCCAGCCCCGAAAUCUAGUGGCGGUCCCUCCGCGACCUCCCCUGUGCAGUAGCGAUACCUCGCAGCGGGACAGCGGUCUGACCACGCCGUAAAACCCCCAACUUCUCAAGGUUGACCUCGAAUCAGGUAGGAAUACCCGCUGAACUUAAGC
rnacentral:misc_RNA from 1 species